rnacentral:rRNA from 1 species
AGUGAACGCUGGCGGUAGGCCUACACAUGCAAGUCGAACGGCAGCACAGUAAGAGCUUGCUCUUACGGGUGGCGAGUGGCGGACGGGUGAGGAAUACAUCGGAAUCUACUUUUUCGUGGGGGAUAACGUAGGGAAACUUACGCUAAUACCGCAUACGACCUACGGGUGAAAGCAGGGGAUCUUCGGACCUUGCGCGAUUGAAUGAGCCGAUGUCGGAUUAGCUAGUUGGCGGGGUAAAGGCCCACCAAGGCGACGAUCCGUAGCUGGUCUGAGAGGAUGAUCAGCCACACUGGAACUGAGACACGGUCCAGACUCCUACGGGAGGCAGCAGUGGGGAAUAUUGGACAAAGGGCGCAAGCCUGAUCCAGCCAUACCGCGUGGGUGAAGAAGGCCUUCGGGUUGUAAAGCCCUUUUGUUGGGAAAGAAAAGCAGCAGGUUAAUACCCCGCUGUUCUGACGGUACCCAAAGAAUAAGCACCGGCUAACUUCGUG